GCUGGCGACAAUAGCAAGAGUGAACCACCUGAUCCCUUCCCGAACUCAGAAGUGAAACCUCUUAGCGCUGAUGGUAGUGUGGGGUUACCCAUGUGAGAGUAAG
rnacentral:rRNA from 1 species